UCCGGCGAUCCUCUUCCCGGUUACGGGUUAGGCUGUGCUGGAGGAAUCUGGAAGCCCCAAUCCUCCCGUUUCCAGGGCCCUGUCAAGGCCAGGUGGAGAGGCCCCUCAUGAGCGCACAGGCACACGACUAAAGGGUUACAGAGGGGAGGAGAGCCCAUAGCCACUGGGGGUCGCCCCCCAGAUGCACUCCCUGGACUGCGGGAACGAACGCCUGCAUUUCUCUCAGUGCUUUGGAAAUUCGACUGCAUUUUCGUUGCCAGUGGCAGUGGACGUGUCUACAACGACCAAUUACAAGCCCCAAGAGCAACACUAUCUAGGAUCCGACGGUGGCAUCAAGACUUCAUCCUGUAUCUGACCUCAGCCUAGCACACUCCAUUUUGUCAAAAAACGAAAUCAGGCCGUAGGCACAGACAGUGUGCAUGAGCUCUGUCCCGAAUCCGAGGAACACCGGGAGAAUUGUCUCGCGCUCCUCUCUGGACCUUUAGUCAGCGUCUCAGAUUUUCAAGGAAGCAAGGGACUGUGGAGGUCCUUUACUGGACAUUUUAGAGGACCGGUGACUCGGAGUUGCCCAUCACUAGGCCCAGGGGCUCCCCGGAAAAGGACAACUGCUUGCCCACCAGGUAGGGCCCAGACCCUCGACGAGCCACCUACUCUACCCUCGAACGACUGUGGGCCGUGACCUGCUGCCUCAUUGGUGUGUAAAUUCGAUUUCCAGUUUGCAUCUGCCUCAUUUACUAUCCCCUCCGCCUGAUUUCGUUCUGUCCCUGCACAGAGUUAACAAACGGGUGAGAGUGAGGCUCUGGGGUGCCCGUCGUCUGACCCGGGAUCUGGAGUCAGCUACAAUCCUAGGAUGGCGCUCGCCCCCUGUGAUCACCAGAACCAAGAGUUGGGGAAGUGUUGACUCCGAGUGUGCAGCCCGAGGUCGCGGGCGAUGGGUCUCCCGGGCUGAAGCAGUGACGGGAAACGCCCACUAGUUGGCGCUGGCGCCUUGCUGGCUGCUCAGUUGCCCCGCCAGGCUCAGGGCACAGAUGUGCGCCAGCUGCAGUGCCUUGGUUUUCCAAGCAGCCGGGCGCCGGGCGCCUGGAAAGAGCUGCUUUUUGGACAGAGUGUUCAUUCGCCUGACUCCACUGUAUCGGACAAACGGACGACCGCGGCCAAGGGCUGCUUGCUCCGGCUCUCAAGGGAUAGGUGCACUCCUCUGGAGUCUCAGACACCAAAGGGUCUGUGACUAAGAACUCUCUCCUACAAAAACGCACCGUUUCCUGAGCCUAGGACAGAAGGUUCAGACUUUCCUCUUUAGAUCCGUCUGGUACCCACCCAGCUUCCUUCUGCUGCUCUGGACUGACACAUCUAGAACUAUCUCAGCAGUGUCAAUUUUCAGACCUGGAGAGCUCCUGCCGCCAACCAGGACCCAUCAUAUCCUCUCCCUUCCCACUGUGCACGCACAUGAUCUGUCUCCCUUUCUGUCCUGCCGAUGGAGAGUCGGCUUUCUCUCAAAUGCCCCUAUCUAAGAGCACCUGGCUGUGUCCCCUGCAAGGCCAGGAGGCAGAGAUCGGAGCUCCUCUCUCACCUGUCUGUGCAUUGCUGGGUAAAUUGGACUAGCCUGGGUCGUCUACUGGGAGUGACCCCACCUAAGAGAGGGUUCUAAUGGUGUCGUGGCAGUGCAAUGCCGCCCUGUUUCCAGGAGGGGCUGAGUGGGUCCGAUUCCUUGGGAGUCUGGAGCCUGACUUAUUAUUAGUAGGUCUGUCUUCCUUUAUCACUCUGGUCCAGGGACCCUGCACCGAAUAUCCCUGAGCCUUCCUUUCAUCUGUACAGGGGAUAGCAGCUGCAUUGGGGAUAAUGUGUAAAGUGCUUGGCACAGGCCUGGCGCAGAGGGAUGCUCUAUCAUGCCAAAUUGUCUUUGGCAAGUGCCACACCCUCAACUGUGAAACAUCCAUCAGGUUGUAGUUUCCACACAGCUUGCCAGGACUCAGAGACCAGGCUAUGACCAUAGCCAUCUUGCCCUCCUUCCCCCUAGGCUAGCCUGAGGGCUACCUGGGAACUAAAGACUGUCUGGUGCCUGCCUUUAGACAGAGCCAGUACUGAAAGCAACCAACCUGCCCUCCAGGCUCCCAGUCUCUCACCACCACCCUUCCCGUAGCAGCACGGACAUAAGCAGCGAGUAAACACCAUCAUCAACAUCACCGUUCCUCCCACCCGCAGGUGUCUGUUCCUUUUAGGAACUGAAUUUCUCCAUUCUGGUCCUGGCACUCACGUAUGAGGGACCCAAUGUGGAGCCUGCCUCUAGCUUAGUUCCCGGAAUUCUCAGGGGAGAACUUCACUUCGACUAACUAACACCCUUUCAUUGAGAAGAGGAUAAGCGGUUCCUGCUGGGAGGGGAGGAGCCUCUGAAGGCUGAGAAAGAGAGAGCCGGAAAGAGCUGUUAGUAAACGGAUCUCUGCAUCCCGUUUUCAGAUGCGCGAUAUAAAAUAUCGAAAUACAAAGAUGUCGUGUAA